rnacentral:lncRNA from 1 species
UUGUCUCAAACUUCUGACCUCAGGUGAUCUGCCCGCCUCAGCCUCCCAAAGUGCUGGGAUUAUAGGCAUGAGCCACCACACAUGGCCUGCUUUUCCUUAUCUUUCAGAAUAGUUGAACUACUUUAUUCCUCAGUGUGGCCCAAAUAAGAUUUUCAAAUGCCUCUAAACAGAGCUCUCCUUCUGUGCCUCUGCUGAGGUUUGCUCCUGUAGGAAGUUAUCUGGACCAAACAGCCCGAGCACUGAAUUUAGCUGUAUUGCUGUUACAUUUCCUGUGUGUUGAGGGUUUGGCUGCCAGGAGGUGAAUUGUAGAUAGAAUCUUUCAUUCUGGUUUCAGUUUCUGGAAGUAGCUAUUGAGCUCAAGGCAAAUCAUAUAUUUAAAGAUAUAUACAUGAUUUAAGGAUAAUCUGGCAUUUAUCUCUGCUCUCUUUUUGAAGACUUCAUUAUCAUGGUUGCCUGACCCAACACAACAUAUUUGGAGGAGGAGAGGGGACACUUUUAUUGUACCCCAUCACGUGGCUGAGUCAUUUGGCUCUCCAUUCACUGGAACAGACGACUAUGGACACCACCAUUGGGUUUCCCACCAAGGACAGAGUUCCAAAGCAACAGUGGCUUCCAUGGUUGGCUCACCCAGCCUGCCUGAGUCAUCAGCUAGGUCCACAGAGUAGAGAAGUGGGUAGUGCCCCCGCCUAACAUCUGGAAAAAUUCCCAAAAGUUGUGACUUCAUGACCACUGAGUCAGCAGCAACUCUUUUCUUGCCAAGAAUAGCACAUUGUUCUUUUCCUUUUCAGGUAAUCCCUCCCCGGAAAGAGAAGAUCACAGAUUUUGUCAUAUUAAAUACAUUGUAGAAAUUCAUGGUAGCAGGGGCAAGAUCAUUUAAACAAAACAGAAAGUUUCAGAGAGAGAAAAAGCCAAGGACAAAGAUUAAUCAUUUUUCUGCUUAAAAAAAAUGGCUUUGAUUUGCAACCAUGGAAUGCUCCACUGUUUCUCUUCUCUUCAAAGACAUCUACUGAAAGGAUUCCUUAACCUUACCAAGUGGCCAAAAUACUUUUCUGAGAAGAGUCACAGAGCAUAGGCCCCCCUAGGGUACACAGAGAUUUCAUUAGUCCCUAGAUGUUUCCUGAUCCUUUUAAAAACUGGUUAAAUUCAGAGACUCUAGGCAAUUACUUCUUUCAGAACCUGUGAGGCAAAAACGAAAGAAGAAGGCAGGACACGCAGUGUAACAAACCUUGGAAUGGUUUCGGAACACAUGUCAUUUUCAGGGAGAAGGAAAGGAUGAAUGAAUGAGCUGGAGUACACUUUCUAGAACAUAUAAAGGGGAUAUGGGAACUGGAUGCAGAGAGCCUACCUUCCAGUGGGAGAGAUGGACCACAAAUACAUAAGCAAAUACAUAUACAAAAUCAUUGCAGAUUAUGAAAAAUGGUAAGAAAGAGAUAAAAAGUGUGACCGGAUGGAAGGUAACUGGGGCAAUCACUUUUAGGCAGAUGCCUCUGAGAUGCCAUCUGAGCUGAGACUUGACAGAUGAAGUGCCAACAAUCUCAGCCUCUAAGCCUGCCAAGCUUGAGAUGUUAUUUGUAUUAGUAAUUUGCAGGUGCAAAUGACCCACCUAGACUGUUUCUAGUGCACAGUAUGCUUUGUUGACAAAAUGCCCUGAAGCAAAAUGCCACAGAUGUCAGCUUCAGUUUUGUGGAUUUUCAUAGCAUCUUCCCGUAAGGUUGGUCAUUGUCGUUCCCAACCACUCCCCGGUUUGGGGGAAAGGACACAGGGUGUCCUCUGACUCUGGUGCACACAGGGUGUCCUCUGACUCUGGUGCACACAUGAGCUCUCACCAGUCCUGCUGGGACCAGGCUGCAGGCAAAGAACAAACACCUACUUAAUGAACUGUGAUGACAGAGGAGUGGCCAUUUGCUUCCUCCAGUGCUGUCCAUGCCAGCUCCUGAGCCCAUUUGUCACUUCCUGGGGACACAGCUGACUCAUAGAGCACUGGCAGUAAUCUUGGCCUGGGAGAGGUGGGAAACAGAAGGCUUGGAUAAAAGCAGGUGGAGCUGGUGGCUGCCUAGGUAAUAUGAUGGGAAUUUUUGUCCACUGACCUGUCCACAAUUCUUGGAAUUCUGCUAGAACUCAGUAUCCAAUCCACUUGGUUCUGAAAGGUUUUUUUUGAUUUUUGACCUUCAGCUCGCUCACUAAUGUGAAUGUUUGGAGGAGGAUACCACUGUUUAGAAACAUAAUUUAGCAUAUUAAAAAAGACUCACAAAAAAUCUCAAAAUGGCAAAAUCAGGUUAUAGGUGUUAGGCCCUGGAUCUCAUUUUAUCCAGAAUUGUUCCAUCUCUGAAAUGACAAAUUCAUACACUCUAGAGCAUGACACAUAGUCUUCUAACCUUCCCACUGAGUUACCCAUAUUACACUGCCCUUCAGCCUCCUGGAGACCUCUUUUUCUUUUUAAAAAAAACUUUUAUUUUGGGUUCAGGGGUAUGGAGAUCUCUUUUUCUAUGAAAGGAUCACAGUCUGUAUCUGCCUUAAGAUAUAGUCAUAGACAACCGUUAUUCAAAGUAAGGGGCCAUAAGUUUGGACGCCAUGGCUCAUGCUUGUAAUCCCAGCACUUUGGGAGGCCGAGGCAGGUGGAUUGCUGGAGCCCAGGAGUUCAAGACCAGCCUGGGCAACAUGGCGAAAUACAGAAAACUUCAAAAAUUAGCUGGGCAUGGUGGCACACAUCUAUGGUCCCAGCUACUCAGAAGACCGAGGUGGGAGAAUCACUUGACCCCAGGAGGCAGAAGAUGCAGUGAGCUAUGAUCGCACCACUACACACCAGCCUGGGCAAUAGAAUGAGAACCCAUCUCAAAAAAAAGGUAAAGGGCCAUGAUUGUAUGUCUAUUUGUGUGUGUAUGAUUUUAUCACUUUAUUUGACAAUCAGUGGUUGGCUCUCACCCACAUUGACUGUCUAUAGAUGUUUGAAAGUGGUCACAGGUACAUAGUUAAACCAAAGUAUAGAGUUUGUUUGCUGAACCUUCAC